GAAAUGCGAUAAGUAGUGUGAAUUGCAGAAUUCAGUGAAUCAUCGAAUCUUUGAACGCACAUUGCGCCCCUUGGUAUUCCGUGGGGCAUGCCUGUUCGAGCGUCAUCUACACCCUCAAGCUCUGCUUGGUGUUGGGCGUCUGUCCCGCCCCCGCGCGUGGACUCGCCCCAAAUCCAUUGGCAGCGUUCCUUGCCCCCUCUCGCGCAGCACAUUGCGCUUCUCGAGGGCGGCUCCGGGACGCGAUCCAGCAAGAUGACCACCGUCUUUGACCUCGGAUCAGGUAGGGAUACCCGCUGAACUUAAGC
rnacentral:misc_RNA from 1 species